AACAGCGAGGAAAGCUUGCUUUUUUCGGCUGACGACUGGCGAACGGGUGAGUAAUACAUCGGAACGUGUCCGCUCGUGGGGGACAACCAUCCGAAAGGAUGGCUAAUACCGCAUGAGUUCUACGGAAGAAAGAGGGGGACCUGCUUGCAGGCCUCUCGCGAGCGGAGCGGCCGAUGACUGAUUAGCCGGUUGGUGAGGUAACGGCUCACCAAAGCAACGAUCAGUAGCUGGUCUGAGAGGACGACCAGCCACACUGGGACUGAGACACGGCCCAGACUCCUACGGGAGGCAGCAGUGGGGAAUUUUGGACAAUGGGCGCAAGCCUGAUCCAGCUAUUCCGCGUGUGGGAUGACGGCCCUCGGGUUGUAAACCACUUUAGUAGAGAACGAAAAGGAGCUAUCGAAUAAAUAGCUCUGCUGACGGUACUCUAAGAAUAAGCACCGGCUAACUACGUGCCAGCAGCCGCGGUAAUACGUAGGGUGCGAGCGUUAAUCGGAAUUACUGGGCGUAAAGGGUGUGCAGGCGGCUGAGUAAGACAGAUGUGAAAUCCCCGGGCUUAACCUGGGAACCGCAUAUGUGACUGCUUGGCUAGAGUGCGUCAGAGGGAGGUGGAAUUCCACGUGUAGCAGUGAAAUGCGUAGAUAUGUGGAAGAACACCGAUGGCGAAGGCAGCCUCCUGGGACGCAACUGACGCUCAUACACGAAAGCGUGGGGAGCAA
rnacentral:rRNA from 1 species